rnacentral:rRNA from 1 species
CUCAACCGGGGAGGGUCAUUGGAAACUGGGAAACUUGAGUGCAGAAGAGGAGAGUGGAAUUCCACGUGUAGCGGUGAAAUGCGUAGAGAUGUGGAGGAACACCAGUGGCGAAGGCGACUCUCUGGUCUGUAACUGACGCUGAGGAGCGAAAGCGUGGGGAGCGAACAGGAUUAGAUACCCUGGUAGUCCACGCCGUAAACGAUGAGUGCUAAGUGUUAGGGGGUUUCCGCCCCUUAGUGCUGCAGCUAACGCAUUAAGCACUCCGCCUGGGGAGUACGGUCGCAAGACUGAAACUCAAAGGAAUUGACGGGGGCCCGCACAAGCGGUGGAGCAUGUGGUUUAAUUCGAAGCAACGCGAAGAACCUUACCAGGUCUUGACAUCCUCUGACAACCCUAGAGAUAGGGCUUUCCCUUCGGGGACAGAGUGACAGGUGGUGCAUGGUUGUCGUCAGCUCGUGUCGUGAGAUGUUGGGUUAAGUCCCGCAACGAGCGCAACCCUUGAUCUUAGUUGCCAGCAUUCAGUUGGGCACUCUAAGGUGACUGCCGGUGACAAACCGGAGGAAGGUGGGGAUGACGUCAAAUCAUCAUGCCCCUUAUGACCUGGGCUACACACGUGCUACAAUGGACAGAACAAAAGGGCUGCAAGACCGCAAGGUUUAGCCAAUCCCAUAAAUCUGUUCUCAGUUCGGAUCGCAGUCUGCAACUCGACUGCGUGAAGCUGGAAUCGCUAGUAAUCGCGGAUCAGCAUGCCGCGGGUGAAUAACAUUCCCCGGGCCUUGUA